rnacentral:rRNA from 1 species
GAUGAACGCUGGCGGCGUGCCUAACACAUGCAAGUCGAGCGAACACACGAUGAGAUUGUUCUUCUGCCGUUAGCGGCGGACGGGCGAGUAACAAGUGGAUCACCAUCUACUUUGACUUGGAGAAUUACGGGAAGAAGGUGCCACUAAUAGAUAAUAUAUUGUACGGGAUAGAUCAAUAGUGCAAGACGGCUUUGGCGUUACAAUUAGCUGGAUCCGGGUCGGAUUAGCUAGUUGGUAAGGUAACGGCGUACCAAGGCGACGAUGCGUAGCUGACCUGAGAGGAUGAUCGGCCACACUGGAACUGAGACACGGUCCAGACUCCUACGGGAGGCAGCAGUAGGGAAUAUUGCACAAUGGGCGAAAGCCUGAUCGAGCAAUACCGCGUGGGUGAAGAAGGUCUUCGGGUUGUAAAGCCCUUUUGUUGGGAAAGAAAAAAAGUGGGAUAAUACACCGAUGUUUUGACGGUACCCAAAGAAUAAGCCACGGCUAACUACGUG